GACGAACGCUGGCGGCGCGCCUAACACAUGCAAGUCGAACGGAGCUGAGAGAAGCUUGCUUUUCUUAGCUUAGUGGCGAACGGGUGAGUAACGCGUGAGUAACCUGCCCUGGAGUGGGGGACAACAGUUGGAAACGACUGCUAAUACCGCAUAAGCCCACGAUCCGGCAUCGGAUUGAGGGAAAAGGAUUUAUUCGCUUCAGGAUGGACUCGCGUCCAAUUAGCUAGUUGGUGAGGUAACGGCCCACCAAGGCGACGAUUGGUAGCCGGACUGAGAGGUUGAACGGCCACAUUGGGACUGAGACACGGCCCAGACUCCUACGGGAGGCAGCAGGGGGGGAUAUUGCACAAUGGGGGAAACCCUGAUGCAGCGACGCCGCGUGGAGGAAGAAGGUUCUCGGAUUGUAAACUCCUGUCGUUAGGGACGAUAAUGACGGUACCUAACAAGAAAGCACCGGCUAACUACGUG
rnacentral:rRNA from 1 species